GGGCGCCGAGCAGGGUCUGGGUCGUGAACUGCGUCAGGU
rnacentral:SRP_RNA from 14 species